rnacentral:rRNA from 1 species
UACGUAGGGUGCAAGCGUUGUCCGGAAUUAUUGGGCGUAAAGAGCUCGUAGGCGGUGUGUCGCGUCGGCCGUGAAAACCUGGGGCUCAACUCUGGGCGUGCGGUCGAUACGGGCAUCACUUGAGUUCGGCAGGGGAGACUGGAAUUCCUGGUGUAGCGGUGAAAUGCGCAGAUAUCAGGAGGAACACCGGUGGCGAAGGCGGGUCUCUGGGCCGAUACUGACGCUGAGGAGCGAAAGCAUGGGUAGCGAACAGGA